CAGAGUUCUGAUUCUCUAACAAACCUUUCCAUGUUUGUCAUUCUUCUGUUUCUUUGUAAAGAAACAAGUCCCUCUGCAUUUAAAUCAUUGCUGACUUACAAGGUUAGGAAAUACUCCCUCUUGCCCUCUAAAAUUCAUCUUAAACAAAUCCAGCAAUCACAGUGCAGAGGAUUCUUUCCUUUGCAGUAAGUACAUUUCACAUCAAUACUUGUUCAUUAAUUAACACCACCAGGACUGUGUGGGAGAAAUGCUGUAAAACACCGGUUUCUGAGAAUGAGGGUAGAAAGAAAAGAAGCCAAAUAUAUGAAUUGAGCCUGAUGCUAUCUGUAAUCUGUCAGAGCAGCUGAAGGGAGUAGUGAAGGGCACGGGGCACAUUAAUGAAUGCCUGAGAAGCAGUGUGGGGACCUAUUCAUGGAUGAGGGCUACAGGAGGAAGACGAUGCAGACAGAUGGGAGGAAGUAAGAGUAACCACUACAGGCAAUUACAAGAUGUUGUAGAGUAGGAAGAGGUGGGAGGCGGGACAGGAAGAGGAAGGUAACGGUAAGCCUCAGACACAGCGUUUAAAGACUGAAUGACCACCCACAAAGAGGAGCAAUAAGCCAAGCAGGAUCACCGAUGUUGAUUUCCUUUAAGUCUGAAUAAGGAACUGCCACCAAUACACAAAGAGGAUUGACAAACAUUUAUUUUCCCUUCUCAUUUAACAGGUUCCAAUGAUGCUCUUACUCUGUGCCAGAAACUAUGGUGGACUAACAAACUAUGCUCAGCUGCAAUUGUAAUUUGGAGAGGAUUUCAUUCAAUGAUCAAAAGAACCACGCAUGCAUCCAUACCUUUGCCUGGAUCUCUCCCACUGUUAUAAUGAGCGCUCUGCACUACUUCCGUGUGAUGACAGAGCCUGCAUUUUGUGUUCACUACAACGUAACGCCAUUUAUUAAUAUACAGAAGAUUUACCCACAGAAAUGUGAUGCAGACCAUAUAUAUGCACAAAGAAGCAAGGGCAACGAUGAAAGAAGUGAAAAGAUGAAAAGGUGAAGAAGGAGUGCUGCCUGUGACAGUGCAUCUUCAGGCACCUUGAAGAAAAGGACUAAAGGACUAGGGGAAGUGGGAAGGGAGGGGGAAGAAAAGAAGGGAAAAGAAAAAAUACCAGAGAAGAAAAAAAUGGAAAUAAAGUCUUUGUAAAUAGUGAAGGGUGGAGGUGGUGAAGGGAGGACAGGGCUGUGGAGAAAAAAAAAGAACCAAGAUAUAUCGUGUACGAGAUCCCAAUGUUGAAUGUAACUGUACUGUAUACCUAAAAAGUACCAAUAAACUCAGUGAAAAAAAAGAGAAAGCUAUCAGACCAUUUUCAUAUGAGUCAUGUGAAAUCCUGAUGAUGACUCA
rnacentral:lncRNA from 1 species